CACCACGGCAACCUUCUCCUCCCCAUCACCGCCUCCUAUCCAUCCCCUUCAGACGUCACCCGCUGCACCAUCCAAGCCACGCCACCAGCAAUAAAGCUCACCGGAGAUACACACAAGUUAUCAAUUCCGAGUGCUGGGACUGAGAAAUGCAGGUGCAGAACUGGGACUUUAACCACUGUACAAUUCAGUGAGAGAGCAAUGCUCAUGCCAAACAAGGCUGUGGUAAAUGAGAUAUCACAAGACGGUGGAUUCGGUGAUAAGUUAUAUUAUUAUCCUCACUGA
rnacentral:lncRNA from 1 species